rnacentral:lncRNA from 1 species
AUUUCUUCUCUGGAAACAGCAACGCCGCCGGCGACAUCGACGAAAAACAGAGCCCAAAAUCGCACACACGAAAACUGAAAAAUAAACCCCAAAUCGAAAAUUGCAGAUCCCAAAUGUAAAUUGCAAACCAAAUCUGCCCAAAAUAUGACAACCGAUUCAAGAAGAUGCAGAGGAAAACUACCAAAUCAUUCAGUUCAAAACCCUAAUUACGAUUACAAACUCCAGCGGCGUAAUAAAUAGGGAUCUCUGUACCGAAGGAGGCGGCGGCCAUGGGGUCGCGGGAGAUAACUGCGAUAGCAGACCGGAGAGGCAGCCAUGGGUCGCGGCGCAGACCAGAGAGGCGGCAGCCAUGGAAUCGCGGCGCAGACAGAGGGAGAUGCGAGAGGCCAGGGAACCCAAACCGGAGUCGGAUUUGACGGCGGGGAGAAGACCUGCGCUACUCGAGAAGGAGAGAAGACCUAGCGAGGUCGAGGUGGGCGAGGAUGGAAGCGGCGAGGGUGGAGGCGACGAGCGACUGGGCGGCGCGGCGGCGAGCGAUGCAGGCGACGAGCGACUGAUGCAGGCGAGGCGGUGGGUUGCUGGCGACCGGUAACGAGCGCUGCAGGUGGCGCAGAGAGCGUGGAGAAGAGGAGAAGAAGCGCCGCUGGAAGCUUGGAAAUU